GGAGUCCCCCCGGAAGCGCAGGGCACGAAGGAGAGCAGUUUCUAGGAAGCGCCCCUCUGAGAGCUCAGCUUGGAAGAUCAUCUGUAGCCAUCAGAAAGAAGGAAAGAGAUGGUGUAGGAAAAGAUAACCCAUGCUUGAAGAACACCAUCUGAAUGGCAAGAUGGGAAAAACAAGGCACAGAAAAGUAAGAAACCUUCCAAGACAGUGGUGGAGUCACGUGAGAUUCCAGACUCAAUGGUUUCCUUCCAGAGCCCAUGCUGUUAACCACUGGGCUAGACUGCCUUCCAUACGUCCCCGUCUAGUGAAGCCUGUGUCCCCACUCCGUGCACCUCAAGGGCGGCAAAGCUAUCUUGGUGUGUCGGCCAUCUUGGUAACUUCAGCACCUCACAUUCCCCACAUUCCAACUUGUCCACAACGAGUCCUUAAAAAUCACUAGACAACCGGAGCUUGGAUUGGAUCCCGGAA